rnacentral:lncRNA from 1 species
CAAUCUGCUCCUCAGCACAGCACGGUGGCUGGCCGGCCCCCCGUAGGAAGGCUUGGGGUUAAAAUCGACUUAGGAUGCCGCCCUUAUGUAAGUGACCAGCUCCCAGCUUGGGUCCCAGCUCCUCUGGGCUACUGCUGAGAGACCCCCUCUGCUAAGGGAUCUGUCUCUGAGGCAGGAGCUAACACAUUUGGCUUCCAACCUUUGGCUAAUGUUGACGAUUUUUAGGUUGUCUUGAGGCAACAGGUUGAACAUAGUUUCUGAAAUGAAAAAUCUAGUGUUUAUUAAGGCUAGGGCAGCUGAGGGCUGAGCCUGCAUCUGGAGCCUUGAGAUGUUCCGCUUGCACGUCACCCUCGCCGAGGGAUUGGGCGGGAGAGUCGGUCACCGAGUGAACUUCAAAGUUGGCGCUCUGCAUGUGACGUGUAGCGUGGGAAGAUUAAGUCAGCUUAAAAUGAGAGAACAAGAUUCCAAGGAAGAAAACCUCCCCAGAACCUUACUCGUUUAUAGAUAAAAGAAGAUAAAUAUUGAGAAAAUUAAAAAAAUAAAACGAAAUAGUUGGGCUGCAAACCAGCAGCUCUGGGACCAGAUGCAGCCCUGGUGAAGGCAUCCCCCACCAGGUUCUGUUUGGCCUGCUCAGGAUUGUUUUUUUGUGUUGAGAUAACUGUGGGUGGGGUCCACACUCUCCGGAUCUCAGGCCCUGCCACACCCUAAUGCCACAAAGCUUGGAGAGUGCGAUUACAGCGAGGCUCAGAAGCCAGGCUGAGGGCCUGCCAGCCUCGUGGGGCUGCUGUGUGGUCCCCAUGGGUUAGCAUCUGCCCGGCCGCCGGAACAGGGCCUGGAUGGAGAAGGAACUCCAUCAGCACUAACUCUGCUAGACUCUCUUAUUAAUCUGCCCUCUGAAGGCAUUUGGGCUUGUGGCCCUUGAGUUAGUUCCAUGGCUUUUUCAAGAAAGAUCCUGCAGUUCCAAUGUGAGCAGCAGUUGUUUCCAAGGCUAACAAUUUCACGCCAACUAGAAGCCUCCACAAGUCAGGUGCCAGGCAUUUCUAAGCCAGUAGAGCAGCUCCGCUUGUUUCUCUGGAAUUUGGGCAGUUGUCUGGACAUUAGGAGUUGAGUCACCUCCUACCCAUGAGGAACAAGCCUGUGGGGGGACUGAUAUUAUCACUUCUGUCAUCAAGAAAUAAGGCCGCAGGCAUCCCUGAAUAUAGAGCAUUUAUUAAUCGAACUGUGAAAAUGAAACACAGACAGUGAUGACAGCUGGAAGUUGGCCAAUGUCCUGUUGUCAUAUUGCCCUCAGCCUAGGGACUGGCCUGUGGCUCACUGACCCUGUCUCCCACUCUCCACCUCUCAUCAGCAACUGGACCUGGUGCACCUGGUCUACCUCAUGUCCAGUGUUUUCCGCAGUACCUGACUGGUAUCCCCACCCUUGGUUGUUGUGUGGAAAACCUGGAGUUCUAGUUAUCAUCAUCAUCAUCAUCAUCAUCACUGUCAUCAUCAUUGACAUCAUCACAAUAAGAACUCCCAUUGUAUUCAGCCCUAACCGUAUGGUAGCAACUUUAUGGUAUUCCCUUUAACCUCCCCCCACCCCAAUAUCCAUCCUGGAAGAUGGGAAGGAUGAUAGGUUUGUUGACUCACUCAAGGCGGUGGGACUCUCCAGCAGAUACGGUGGCCAAUGAAAGAUAUAGGCUGAAAGAUCUCCAUUCCAGCAAUGAUCUCUCUCCUCCAACUCUGGCAUUGGAGGAGUACCACAAUCCUGCCUCCACAUUUCAUUUGCUGACACCCAGGGGCAGCAUUAGGUGUAGAGUGCUGGACAUCUAAGGGAAGAGGUUCAAUUGUCCAUCUGUUUAGUUAUUUACUCAUUAUUCAAUGAAUGUUAAUUGAGACCAGUCAGGGCAGCUGAGAAGCAGUGCGGUUUGUGUGUCACCUGCUCUGUGUUCACCCACUGGGUUCAUCAGAGGGGCACUUGAACAAAACAGGAAUGUCACUGGAGAGGGGAACAAAUGCUGUCCCCAAGUCCUUCCCUGCCGUUUAGAGUAACGCAGCCCCUGUCCGCACAUCCUCACCCCCAUCUGCCCUCUGCUUGCCAGAAUUAUCAGAAUCUCUCAAUUCUAAUUUCAGCCAUUCUCUGUGAAAAUGAAAAGGCCUCUGUGUGUGAUGGGUUGACUUGUGUGUCCCAAAAUUCACAUGUGGACGUCCUCGCCCCUGGCAGCUCAGACG